AACUAUUCAUGUGGAAGCUCACACACUGGACUUGCUAGACAAAACUUUAAAUCAACUAUCUUAAAUAUGGUCAAAUAGCUAAAGGAAACUAAGAACAAAGAGCUAAAGCAAAAUAGGAGAAAGAUGUCUCACCAAA